rnacentral:rRNA from 1 species
GACGAACGCUGGCGGCGUGCCUAAUACAUGCAAGUAGAACGCUGAAGGAGGAGCUUACUUCUCUGGAUGAGUUGCGAACGGGUGAGUAACGCGUAGGUAACCUGCCUGGUAGCGGGGGAUAACUAUUGGAAACGAUAGCUAAUACCGCAUAAGAGUAGAUGUUGCAUGACAUUUACUUAAAAUGUGCAAUGGCACCACUACCAGAUGGACCUGCGUUGUAUUAGCUGGUUGGUGGGGUAACGGCUUACCAAGGCGACGAUACAUAGCCGACCUGAGAGGGUGAUCGGCCACACUGGGACUGAGACACGGCCCAGACUCCUACGGGAGGCAGCAGUAGGGAAUCUUCGGCAAUGGACGGAAGUCUGACCGAGCAACGCCGCGUGAGUGAAGAAGGUUUUCGGAUCGUAAAGCUCUGUUGUAAGAGAAGAACGAGUGUGAGAGUGGAAAGUUCACACUGUGACGGUAUCUUACCAGAAAGGGACGGCUAACUACGUGCCAGCCGCCGCCGUAA